ACAAUCAUUUGCCCUUUAAUUGUGGGCUGGUAUGAAUGGGUAAACGAGGGUAAAGCUGUCUCUUGUAUAUGACUAAAAGUUAAACUUUAAGUGAAUAUGCUUAAAUAGGGGUAAAAGACAAGAAGACCCCAAGAGCUUUAAUAAAAUCUCAGAUAAGGCUAUAUUUGAGUGUUAUUUUGGUUGGGGCGACAGAGGACUAAACUAUAGCGUCUUUUUUAGUGAAGAAUUUGAUUCUUUGUUGAUCCGUUGUGCGAUUAGAAGAAGUAGCUACCUUGGGGAUAACAGGCUAAUUUAUUCGGAGAGUCCCUAUUGAUGAAUUAAGUUUGGCACCUCGAUGUUGGCUCAGAGUUUCCCACAGGUGCAGGAGUUUGUGAUGGUAGGUUUGUUCACCCUUUAAAACUCUAC
rnacentral:rRNA from 1 species